AACGAAAACGAAAACGAACCUGAAGGCGCUGGCCGAGGCCCUGGGAAGAGUCCUCUUUUUUUUUAACGAGCUUUCACCCUGAAAUCAGCUUGCCUGGAGAUAGGGUUAAAUGCUCGGUAAAGCACUACACUUCUUGUGGUGUCCGGUGCGCUCUCGACGGCCCUUGAAAAUUCGGGGGAAA
rnacentral:rRNA from 1 species